rnacentral:tRNA from 1 species
GGAUGGGUAGCGAAGAGGCUAAACGCGGCAGACUGUAAAUCUGUUCCUUCGGGUUCGGAGGUUCGAAUCCUUCUCCAUCCACCA